rnacentral:misc_RNA from 1 species
GAUGAAUAACGUAGCGAAAUGCGAUAAGUAAUGUGAAUUGCAGAAUUCAGUGAAUCAUCGAAUCUUUGAACGCACAUUGCGCCCGCCAGUAUUCUGGCGGGCAUGCCUGUCCGAGCGUCAUUUCAACCAUCAAGCCCCGGGCUUGUGUUGGGGACCUGCGUCCGACGCAGGCCCCGAAAACCAGUGGCGGGCUCGCUGUCCACACCGAGCGUAGUAGCUAACCUCGCUCCGGAGUGGCGCGGGCGCCUGCCGUAAAACCCCCCCAAUUUUACAAGGUUGACCUCGGAUCAGGUAGGAAUACCCGCUGAACUUAAGCAUAUCAAUAAGCGGAGGA